rnacentral:rRNA from 1 species
GACGAACGCUGGCGGCGUGCCUAACACAUGCAAGUCGAGGGGCAUCGCGGUGCAGCAAUGCACUGGCGGCGACCGGCGUACGGGUGCGUAACGCGUAUGCAACCUGCCCCGCACCGGGGGAUAGCCCGCCGAAAGGCGGAUUAAUACCCCAUGGUCCCGGGGGCCCGCAUGGGCAUCCGGGUAAAGCCUUGGCGGUGCGGGAUGGGCAUGCGUGCCAUUAGCUGGCUGGUGGGGUAACGGCCCACCAGGGCAACGAUGGCUAGGGGGUCUGAGAGGAUGGUCCCCCACACUGGUACUGAGACACGGACCAGACUCCUACGGGAGGCAGCAGUGAGGAAUAUUGGUCAAUGGGCGGAAGCCUGAACCAGCCAUACCGCGUGCGGGAUGAAGGCCCUACGGGUUGUAAACCGCUUUUCCCCGGGAAGAAUAACCCCGAUGAGUCGGGUGAUGCCGGUACCGGGGGAAUAAGGAUCGGCUAACUCCGUG